UACGUAGGGUGCAAGCGUUAAUCGGAAUUACUGGGCGUAAAGCGUGCUCAGGCGGUUUUGUAAGUCUGUCGUGAAAGCCCCGGGCUCAACCUGGGAAUUGCGAUGGAGACUGCAAGGCUUGAAUCUGGCAGAGGGGGGUAGAAUUCCACGUGUAGCAGUGAAAUGCGUAGAGAUGUGGAGGAACACCGAUGGCGAAGGCAGCCCCCUGGGUCAAGAUUGACGCUCAUGCACGAAAGCGUGGGGAGCAAACAGG
rnacentral:rRNA from 1 species